rnacentral:sRNA from 1 species
AUUCUAGAACACUCACCACGUGGCCCCUCCUGGGUCCUGGUGAUGCAGCUGUGAAUGAAGCAGGCUUGGGGUUGCUGCCACCUGGGGAGGAGCAGAAGGACUGUGGUCACAGCCACACGUGGACACGGUUACUAGGGUUCUGAUCUGCCGGAGGCGCUGGGCAAUGACCCCGGGACUCCAGGCCAGAGGGGUCUGAAGCUGUUUGGGAAAGCAGCGGGACUCCUUGGGAAGAUGGCCAUGGCCCCAAGCCCUUCCCUGGUGCAGGUGUACACCAGCCCCGUGGCUGUGGCCGUGUGGGAAUGGCAGGACGGGCUGGGCACCUGGCACCCCUACAGUGCCACCGUCUGCAGCUUCAUUGAGCAGCAGUUUGUCCAGCAGAAGGGCCAACGUUUUGGGCUUGGGAGCCUGGCCCACAGCAUCCCCUUGGGCCAGGCAGACCCCUCGCUGGCCCCUUACAUUAUUGACCUCCCCAGCUGGACCCAGUUCCGCCAGGACACCGGCACCAUGCGGGCUGUGCGGAGACACCUGUUCCCCCAGCACUCAGCCCCUGGCCGAGGUGUCGUCUGGGAGUGGCUGAGCGACGAUGGCUCCUGGACCGCCUAUGAAG